AGAGUUUGAUCCUGGCUCACGAUGAACGCUAGCGGCAGACUUAAUACAUGUGAGUCGAGGGGCAGCGGAUCCCUCCGGGGAUGCCGGCGACCGGCGAACGGGUGAGUAACACGUAUGGAACCUGCCCUUAACUGGGAAAUAGCUUUGAGAAAUCGAAGGUAAUGUCCCAUACCAUCUGAAGAAGGCAUCUUUUUCAAAUGAAAGCUCCGGCGGUUAAGGAUGGCCAUGCGGUCCAUUAGCUUGUUGGUGAGAUAACCGCUCACCAAGGCUGCGAUGGAUAGCUGAUCUGAGAGGAUAAUCAGCCACAUUGGCACUGAGACACGGGCCAAACUCCUACGGGAGGCAGCAGUAGGGAAUCUUGGUCAAUUGGCGAAAGCCAGAACCAGUCAUGCCGCGUGCAGGAUGAAGGCCCUACGGGUCGUAAACUGCUUUUAUUCGGGAAGAAAAAGUCUGUUUCCACAGACCUUGACGGUACCGAUUGAAUAAGGACCGGCCAACUCCGUGCCAGCAGCCGCGGUAAUACGGAGGGUCCAAGCGUUAUCCGGAUUCACUGGGUUUAAAGGGUGCGCAGGCGGCUAAGUAAGUCAGUGGUGAAAGCCUUCGGCUCAACCGGAGAAUUGCCAUUGAAACUACUUAGCUUGAGUGCAGUAGAGGUAGGCGGAAUGUAGCAUGUAGCGGUGAAAUGCAUAGAUAUGCUACAGAAC
rnacentral:rRNA from 1 species